ACAUAGCCUUAUGAGUAAAUAAAACAUAUAAGGUGUUUCCUGCCCACUGAAGAGACCUAUAAAUUUCUCUUUUAAGGGCCGCAGUACCUUGACUGUGCUAAGGUAGCAUAAUAAAUUGGCUUAUAAUUGAAGUCGAGUAUGAAAGGAGUAACUAGGACCUUCUGUCUUUUUUAGAAUAAUUAUAAAUUACUUAAUUAGGUGAAAAUACCUAAGUAGCUUUUAUUAGACGAGAAGACCCUAAGAGUUUUUAUAAAAUAUAAUAAGUAAAUAUUAUUGUAAAAGUUUUUGUUGGGGCAACAUAUUAACAAUCAAUUUAAUGUAAUUCUUAUUAACUAAACUAAUACAUUUUAUUAUUUAAGAUUAAUACUACCUUAGGGAUAACAGCAUAAUUUCUUAAUUUUGAAGAUUGUGACCUCGAUGUUGGAUUAGGGACUAUUUACGGCUAGUGGCUUAAUUAGAAUGUUCUGUUC
rnacentral:rRNA from 1 species